UUAAUUUGAGAGUUUGAUCCUGGCUCAGGACGAACGCUGGCGGCGUGCCUAAUACAUGCAAGUCGAACGAACUCUGGUAUUGAUUGGUGCUUGCAUCACGAUUUACAUUUGAGUGAGUGGCGAACUGGUGAGUAACACGUGGGAAACCUGCCCAGAAGCGGGGGAUAACACCUGGAAACAGAUGCUAAUACCGCAUAACAACUUGGACCGCAUGGUCCGAGCUUGAAAGAUGGCUUCGGCUAUCACUUUUGGAUGGUCCCGCGGCGUAUUAGCUAGAUGGUGGGGUAACGGC
rnacentral:rRNA from 1 species